rnacentral:rRNA from 1 species
AGCGAACGCUGGCGGCAGGCCUAACACAUGCAAGUCGAACGGACCCUUCGGGGUUAGUGGCGGACGGGUGAGUAACACGUGGGAACGUGCCUUUAGGUUCGGAAUAGCUCCUGGAAACGGGUGGUAAUGCCGAAUGUGCCCUUCGGGGGAAAGAUUUAUCGCCUUUAGAGCGGCCCGCGUCUGAUUAGCUAGUUGGUGAGGUAACGGCUCACCAAGGCGACGAUCAGUAGCUGGUCUGAGAGGAUGACCAGCCACACUGGGACUGAGACACGGCCCAGACUCCUACGGGAGGCAGCAGUGGGGAAUCUUGCGCAAGGGGCGAAAGCCUGACGCAGCCAUGCCGCGUGAAUGAUGAAGGUCUUAGGAUUGUAAAAAUUCUUUCACCGGGGACGAUAAUGACGGUACCCGGAGAAGAAGCCCCGGCUAACUUCGUGCCAGCAGCCGCCGUAA